rnacentral:rRNA from 1 species
GACGAACGCUGGCGGCGUGCCUAAUACAUGCAAGUCGAACGCAGUGGGGACGGGUGAGUAACACGUGGGUAACCUCCCAUCAGAGGGGAUAACACUUGGAAACAGGUGCUAAACCGCUACUGAUGGAUGGACCCGCGGUGCAUUAGCUAGUGGGUGAGGUAACGGCUCACCAAGGCCACGAUGCAUAGCCGGCAUGGGAGGUGUAUCGGCCACACUGGGACUGAGAGACGGCCCAGGCUCCUACGGUAGGCAGCAGUGGGGAAUCGUGGGCAAUGGACGAAAGUCUGACCGAGCAACGCAGCGUGAGUGAAGAGGGUUUUCGGAGCGUAAAUCUCUGUUGUUAGAGAGGGGGUAUCUAACCAGAAAGCCACGGCUAACUACGUGCCAGCAGCCGCGGUAAUAC